AUGUUCAAUAGCAAGAUCAUCGGGACCGUUGGUGGCUUGACGGCGGGAUGGGGAGACAUGGGUGGCGGUGCCACACAGCUCAUCAUGCCUCUCGUCUUCGAUGCCAUUUUGACAUGUGGUGCAACGCCUUUCACUGCAUGGCGCCUUGCGUACUUCGUACCAGGAAUGAUGUUGGUGGUGAUGGGGUUACUCGUCCUCACCAUGGGGCAAGACCUUCCCGAUGGCAACUUGAGGAGCCUGCAGAAGAAUGGAGACAUGAACAAGGAUAAGUUCUCCAAUGUUCUCCGUGGCGCCGUCACCAACUACCGCACGUGGAUCUUCGUCUUCAUCUAUGGCUACUGCAUGGGUGUCGAGCUCACCACCAACAACGUGAUCGCCGAGUACUAG
rnacentral:rRNA from 1 species